rnacentral:snRNA from 1 species
GUGCUCACUUCAGUAAGCACUUAUAUUAAAAUUGGAAUGAUACAGGGAAGAUUAACAUGACACCGAGCAAGAAUGCAUUCCAGAUUUGUUUUUAAAAAAAAGUUUCA